GGGAAUCGGGAUUUUUAAACGCUCCCCUAGUGGCGGGCCCCGUGGCUGAGUGGUUAAGUUCUCUCGCUCCGCUUCGGAGCGCCGGUUCAGAUCCUGGGCGCAGACAUGGCACCACUCAUCAGGCCAUCCUGUGGAGUCAUCCCACAUGCCACAACUAGAAGGACCCACAACUAAAAUAUACAAGAAAUUGCAAUUGAAGAAAGAUCUUACAUCAUACCAAGAGCGGAGGUUCCAGAGACGUGAUUUUCAAUUUAUCAAGAUGGGCAAUGGAUACUUUCAGUGUUCCUUGAGUAACAGAAAUGGCUUUUUUAUUGGUACCACGUGGGGACACAGCUUUCACCAUCUGGCAGGCCCAGAGCAUGGGAUGCCACCUACCCAGGGGAGAACUGGCCCGUCCUCACUCCCUCCUGCUUUGUUUCUGGCCAGGAAUGAAACAGCAGCUGGACGUUCAGUAGGGGCAGAAGUCUUUUGGGUGGAAUUGCAGAGAAGUGCCAUGCUCCUGUCCCUUGGAGGAAGGAAAGAAGACAUAAUACUAAGUCAAGUGAAGAUGUUAUACUAAGUCUGGAGUUUUGAUAUCUUGAGCUGGACAUUCUUAUUAUUGCAUUAGUCACUGCAUUAGCGUAAAGUAACCAGAUUUCACCUAUUACCCGAGAAUCAGCAGUGAUGCCUUGCAACAGACAGAGUGUUUGUCCUGAGGCAAAGGAGGGUUAUAUCCACUAAAUGUAAUUAAAGGGGACCUGGGAGACAAAAAUAAAGUUAUAUAAUGUUUGUAAAACAACGUGGUUAUAGAAAUUAGGCU
rnacentral:lncRNA from 1 species